GUUCAGAGGUGUGCUCUUACGAACUGGAUGGCUCCAGUUAACUAGAACUAGUUGUGAAUGGUUUUGUUUUCCUGUAAGUCUUCCUGCGGAUGUGUGGGCUAGCCCAUAACGUAUGGAGACUGGGGUCUCACAGGGAC